rnacentral:misc_RNA from 1 species
UUUGGGUGCUGGGGAGG